ACUGAAUCCAGCAACCUGCAGGCAAUUAUAUCAAGUGAUUCCCAACAGGAUGAUCAGGUCUCACUGUAAAAUCAAGCUUUCUAGCUGGCAGCUGGAACUGCACAUUGGUGCUGGGCUGGAGCUGUUGAAAGGAGAUCCAGCCUCCAUGGGCAGAAAUCCCUCCAGGAGUGGUUGCUUCCCACAGUUAGAACAUGACCAGGUCCUGCUAAGAGCUGAGGAGAUAAUGUCAGCUCUAUUUACUGACUCUUAUUUUUGUAAAUUAUUCUUAAACUUCAGGUCCUUUUUACAGGCUCUUCUACACACACUCCUGGAAGACAGAUUCAGCUGCAUGUUUAAGAUGUGUAAUACAUAUAAUCUAAGGGAACGGGGCUCCAGAGGUACAGAUUCUCUGGCAGUGCAGCAGAUGUUUCCCAGGUUUAAACACAUGGAAGGAAAGCCUGGCCCAACUGCAGGGGAGGUGGUUGCUCCUCAGAUGUGCUUUUACCUGGAAUGACCUUAGGGAAGGAAAAGAGGACACCUGUUUUACAGUUAGAUAGUCAGCAUUGCAAUUUGGCAAAUCCACUGAUUCCUGGGAGGUCUGUAUUGCCCAGAUCCUCCAAACUUUUGUUUUAGAGAAACCAGAUCUGAUGCUUUAUGGCAUGCAAUAAAAGAAACAGUCAGCACA
rnacentral:lncRNA from 14 species